AACGAACGCUGGCGGCAUGCCUAACACAUGUAAGUCGAACGAGACCUUCGGGUCUAGUGGCGCACGGGUGCGUAACGCGUGGGAACCUGCCCUUAGGUUCGGAAUAACUCCCCGAAAGGGGUGCUAAUACCGGAUAAUGUCUUCGGACCAAAGAUUUAUCGCCUUUGGAUGGGCCCGCGUUGGAUUAGCUAGUUGGUAGGGUAAAAGCCUACCAAGGCGACGAUCCAUAGCUGGUCUGAGAGGAUGAUCAGCCACACUGGGACUGAGACACGGCCCAGACUCCUACGGGAGGCAGCAGUGGGGAAUAUUGGACAAUGGGCGAAAGCCUGAUCCAGCAAUGCCGCGUGAGUGAUGAAGGCCUUAGGGUUGUAAAGCUCUUUUACCCGGGAUGAUAAUGACAGUACCGGGAGAAUAAGCUCCGGCUAACUCCGAG
rnacentral:rRNA from 1 species